GCCCGCGUGGUGGAAUGGUAGACACAAGGGACUUAAAAUCCCUGGCCUUCGGGCGUGCCGGUUCAAGUCCGGCCGCGGGCACCA
rnacentral:tRNA from 1 species